GUGAAUCAUCAAAUCUUUGAACGCAUAUUGCACUCUCUGGUAUUCCGGAGAGUAUGCCUAUUUGAGGGUCAUUUGAAAUAAUAUAAAUUUCGAGAGUUUCUUGGAAUCAAAAAUGGACGGUCCCGCAUUCGUGUGGUGGUCGCCUAAAAUGCAAGACAAGCUCCUUUCUUGGGUUGCGUGAUACUUUCAGUUAACUCCUUACUUCCCCAGGAAUCUUUUAGCGUGUUAGGAAUUGUGCACGAGAUAAACUUUCAUUUAUCUCGAGCCCAAUAUUAAAUUGAAUCAUUACCUCAAAUUAGGU
rnacentral:misc_RNA from 1 species